AAGUUAGAAGCGAAAGUUUGCGUUUAGUUUCGACCUAAAAAUAUGGUUAAUUAACCCUAACUUA
rnacentral:tRNA from 1 species